rnacentral:misc_RNA from 1 species
CAAAAACCUCUCAACAGUUUUAUUAUUGUUGGUUAUGGGUUGUGGAGGACUAGCUAUCAUGGCUGCUCCCACCUUAAACUUGCUGCACGACCGCAAGCUUAUGCUAGGUUUAUUGGAGUGGUGUUUACAUUUUAUUCCUACAAUCAAUCAUAGCUUGGUGGCGUUAAAUUUGAUGUUGCCUUGAGCAACUGAA